rnacentral:rRNA from 1 species
GAGUUUGAUCCUGGCUCAGAGUGAACGCUGGCGGCGUGCUUAACACAUGCAAGUCGAACGAUGAACCUAGCUUGCUAGGGGAUUAGUGGCGCACGGGUGAGUAAUAUAUAGUUAAUGUACCUCGAAGACCGGGAUAGCCAUUGGAAACGAUGAUUAAUACUGGAUAUACCUUCUAAACUCAAGUUUAGUUGGGAAAUGUUUUUUCGCUUUGAGAUCAGACUAUAUCCCAUCAGUUAGUUGGUAGUGUAAGAGACUACCAAGGCAAUGACGGGUAGCGGGUUUGAGAGGAUGAUCCGCCACACUGGUACUGAGACACGGACCAGACUCCUACGGGAGGCGGCAGUGAGGAAUAUUGCACAAUGGAGGAAACUCUGAUGCAGCAACGCCGCGUGGAGGAUGACGCAUUUCGGUGUGUAAACUCCUUUUAUGAGUCAAGAAAAUGACGGUAGCUCAUGAAUAAGCACCGGCUAACUCCGUGCCAGCGGCCGCGGUAAUACGGAGGGUGCAAGCGUUACUCGGAAUCACUGGGCGUAAAGGACGCGUAGGCGGGUUGGAAAGUCAGGUGUGAAAUCCUACAGCUUAACUGUAGAACUGCACUUGAAACUUCUAAUCUAGAGUAUGGGAGGGGGAGAUGGAAUUAGUGGUGUAGGGGUAAAAUCCGUAGAUAUCACUAGGAAUACCCAAAGCGAAGGCGAUCUCCUGGAACAUAACUGACGCUAAGGCGUGAAAGCGUGGGGAGCAAACGGGAUUAGAUACCCCGGUAGUCCACGCCCUAAACGAUGAACACUAGUCGUCGUGAUGCUUGUCAUUGCGGUGAUGCACUUAACAGAUUAAGUGUUCCGCCUGGGGAGUACGGUCGCAAGAUUAAAACUCAAAGGAAUAGACGGGGACCCGCACAAGUGGUGGAGCAUGUGGUUUAAUUCGAAGAUA